UCCAUCGUAAGAUGGAAUCUGAAGGAAGCUGGCGGCAAAAAUCCGGGCCGACGAACAGAAACUGCAUAUAAGGCGGGGUUAUAUGGGUAAUGUUGCUAAAGAAACAAAAGCCCUAUACUGCACAGAUUAUAACAACGUAAAUGCAGCGGCUAGAUGGAUGGAAAGCGUUACAC
rnacentral:ncRNA from 1 species